UGCGUUUACACUAUACGUCGGCAGACCGAAUUUUUUCAUCUGACGUCAGGUGUUGUCCAAUCUGCCGAAGAGGGGUGCGCCCCAGCGGUUACACUGUAGCCCGUCAGAACGUAUGUCUGACCACCGGCAGGCAUUGGUUUCAAUACAAAAAAUCGACGAACAAAUGCAGAUUCAUUUUUUGGCAGAAAACAAUGAUGCUUCCAAAAUUAUAUUGCUUAAUGAAAAGGAAAGAGAAAAUCAUAUAGGAAAUGCAUUUCUCCAAAGAAACGCUUGGCUUUGACAUUGAGAUAGGCCCCUCAUUACAACUGGAUUGGCUCCUCACUACAACUGGAUUGGCCUACUAAUAUUGAAUUGUCCAUUCACCUAUCACCACAAUUAUCUAUGAGACGUGAUAUUAUGUGGAGAUGCCUCACUAAAAAGCAUGUACCAUUACCAACAGCAGCAAUGUGCCAAGGCCUCUGAAGACUGAAGACACCAUCUGAAGUAUUAUGGAGCAUGUUGAAUUUGAUAUUUAAUUGAAAUAAACUUCUUUUUGU